GAAACCAACAGGGAUUGCCCUAGUAACGGCGAGUGAAGCGGCAACAGCUCAAAUUUGAAAGCUGGCCUUCGGGUCCGCAUUGUAAUUUGUAGAGGAUGCUUUGGGGCAGCCGCCUGUCUAAGUUCCUUGGAACAGGACGUCAUAGAGGGUGAGAAUCCCGUAUGUGACAGGAAGUGGCACCCUAUGUAAAGCUCCUUCGACGAGUCGAGUUGUUUGGGAAUGCAGCUCUAAAUGGGAGGUAAAUUUCUUCUAAAGCUAAAUACCGGCGAGAGACCGAUAGCGCACAAGUAGAGUGAUCGAAAGAUGAAAAGCACUUUGGAAAGAGAGUUAAAAAGCACGUGAAAUUGUUGAAAGGGAAGCGCUUGCAAUCAGACUUGUCUGGGUCGUUCGGCCGGUCUUCUGACCGGUUUACUCGGCCCGUGACAGGCCAGCAUCAGUUUCGGCGGUCGGAUAAAGGCCCUGGGAAUGUGGCUCUGCCUUCGGGGAGAGUGUUAUAGCCCGGGGUGUAAUACGGCCAGCCGGGACUGAGGUCCGCGCUUCGGCUAGGAUGCUGGCGUAAUGGUUGUAAGCGGCCCGUCUUGAAACACGGACCAAGGAGUCUAACAUCUAUGCGAGUGUUCGGGUGUCAAACCCCUACGCGUAAUUAAAGUGAACGGAGGUGGGAACCGCAAGGUGCACCAUCGACCGAUCCAGAUGUCUUCGGAUGGAUUUGAGUAAGAGCAUAGCUGUUGGGACCCGAAAGAUGGUGAACUAUGCCUGAAUAGGGUGAAGCCAGAGGAAACUCUGGUGGAGGCUCGCAGCGGUUCUGACGUGCAAAUCGAUCGUCAAAUUUGGGUAUAGGGGCGAAAGACUAAUCGAACCAUCUAGUAGCU
rnacentral:rRNA from 1 species